rnacentral:rRNA from 1 species
UGGGGAAUUUUGGACAAUGGGCGAAAGCCUGAUCCAGCAAUGCCGCGUGUGUGAAGAAGGCCUUCGGGUUGUAAAGCACUUUUGUCCGGAAAGAAAUCCUUGGCUCUAAUACAGUCGGGGGAUGACGGUACCGGAAGAAUAAGCACCGGCUAACUACGUGCCAGCAGCCGCGGUAAUACGUAGGGUGCGAGCGUUAAUCGGAAUUACUGGGCGUAAAGCGUGCGCAGGCGGUUUGCUAAGACCGAUGUGAAAUCCCCGGGCUCAACCUGGGAACUGCAUUGGUGACUGGCAGGCUAGAGUAUGGCAGAGGGGGGUAGAAUUCCACGUGUAGCAGUGAAAUGCGUAGAGAUGUGGAGGAAUACCGAUGGCGAAGGCAGCCCCCUGGGCCAAUACUGACGCUCAUGCACGAAAGCGUGGGGAGCAAACAGGAUUAGAUACCCUGGUAGUCCACGCCCUAAACGAUGUCAACUAGUUGUUGGGGAUUCAUUUCCUUAGUAACGUAGCUAACGCGUGAAGUUGACCGCCUGGGGAGUACGGUCGCAAGAUUAAAACUCAAAGGAAUUGACGGGGACCCGCACAAGCGGUGGAUGAUGUGGAUUAAUUCGAUGCAACGCGAAAAACCUUACCUACCCUUGACAUGGUCGGAAUCCCGCUGAGAGGUGGGAGUGCUCGAAAGAGAACCGGCGCACAGGUGCUGCAUGGCUGUCGUCAGCUCGUGUCGUGAGAUGUUGGGUUAAGUCCCGCAACGAGCGCAACCCUUGUCCUUAGUUGCUACGCAAGAGCACUCUAAGGAGACUGCCGGUGACAAACCGGAGGAAGGUGGGGAUGACGUCAAGUCCUCAUGGCCCUUAUGGGUAGGGCUUCACACGUCAUACAAUGGUCGGAACAGAGGGUUGCCAACCCGCGAGGGGGAGCUAAUCCCAGAAAACCGAUCGUAGUCCGGAUUGCACUCUGCAACUCGAGUGCAUGAAGCUGAAAUCGCUAGUAAUCGCGGAUCAGCAUGCCGCGGUG